rnacentral:rRNA from 1 species
UGCCAGCAGCCGCGGUAAUACGGAUGGUGCAAGCGUUAUUCGGUAUCACUGGGCUUAAAGCGUACGUAGGCGGCGCGACCAGUGCAUGGUGAAAUCCCACGGCUCACCCGUGGAACUGCUGUGCAUACUGUCGUGCUCGAGGACGGUAGGGGAGUGCGGAACUCUUGGUGGAGCGGUGAAAUGCGUAGAUAUCAAGAGGAACACCGAUGGCGAAGGCAGCACUCUGGUCCGUUUCUGACGCUGAGGUACGAAAGCUAGGGUAGCGAACGGGAUUAGAUA